rnacentral:rRNA from 1 species
CCGAGAUCUACACGUAAGGAGUCGUCGGCAGCGUCAGAUGUGUAUAAGAGACAGGUGGUAAAGGAUGUGGGAUUGCACAGACAACCAGGAUGUUGGCUUAGAAGCAGCCACUCAUUCAAAGAGUGCGUAAUAGCUCACUGGUCGAGUGAUCCUGCGCCGAAGAUUUCCGGGGCUAAAACUUACUACCGAAGCUACGGCAUCAGUAAUGAUGGGUAGGGGAGCUUCCCAUACGGGUUGAAGCAUGACCGUAAGGACAUGUGGACAGUAUGGGAGUGAGAAUGUUGGCAUGAGUAGCGAGAUGUGGGUGAGAAUCCCACAGGCCGUAAACCCAAGGUUUCCAGGGGAAGGUUCGUCCGCCCUGGGUUAGUCGGGACCUAAGCUGAGGCCGAAAGGCGUAGGUGAUGGACAACAGGUUGAUAUUCCUGUACUACCGAUAACCGUUUGAGAGAAGGGAUGACACAGUAGGAUAAGCUAAGCACACUGUUGGUUAUGUGUGCCCAAGCAUUGAGGCAGUCAAAGUAGGCAAAUCCGCUUUGAUAAUGCUGGGAUGUGAUGGGGAGCGAAAUUUAGUAGCGAAGUAGCUGAUUUCACACUGUCAAGAAAAGUCUCUAUCGAGGUUAAAGGUACCCGUACCGCAAACCGACACAGGUGGGUGAGGAGAGUAUCCUAAGGCCAGCGAGAGAACUGUUGUUAAGGAACUCGGCAAAAUGACCCCGUAACUUAGGGAUAAGGGGUGCCACCAUCAGGUGGCCGCAGAGAAUAGGCCCAAGCGACUGUUUACCAAAAACAUAGGUUUCUGCUAAGUCGCAAGACGAUGUAUAGGAGCUGACGCCUGCCCGGUGCUGGAAGGUUAAGGGGAUCUGUUAGAGCAAUCGAAGCAGUGAACUUAAGCCCCAGUAAACGGCGGCCGUAACUAUAACGGUCCUAAGGUAGCGAAAUUCCUUGUCGGGUAAGUUCCGACCCGCACGAAAGGCGUAACGAUUUGGGCACUGUCUCAACAACAGACUCGGUGAAAUUGUAAUUCCGGUGAAGAUGCCGGAUACCUGCGACAGGACGGAAAGACCCCAUGGAGCUUUACUGUAGCUUGACAUUGGGUCUUGGUACUACAUGUACAGGAUAGGUGGGAGGCUUUGAAACCAGGACGCCAGUUUUGGCGGAGCCAUCCUUGGGAUACCACCCUUGUAGUACUGGGACUCUAACCAUAGGCCAUGAAUCUGGUCUUGGGACACUGUCAGGUGGGCAGUUUGACUGGGGCGGUCGCCUCCCAAAAGGUAACGGAGGCGCUCAAAGGUUCUCUCAGUACGGUCGGAAAUCGUACGUAGAGUGUAAAGGCAAAAGAGAGCUUGAUUGCAAGACAUACAGGUCGAGCAAGGAUGAAAAUCGGACUUAGUGAUCCGGUGGUUCUGCGUGGAAGGGCCAUCGCUCAACGGAUAAAAGCUACCCUGGGGAUAACAGGCUUAUCUCCCCCAAGAGUCCACAUCGACGGGGAGGUUUGGCACCUCGAUGUCGGCUCAUCACAUCCUGGGGCUGUAGUAGGUCCCAAGGGUUGGGCUGUUCGCCCAUUAAAGUGGUACGCGAGCUGGGUUCAGAACGUCGUGAGACAGUUCGGUCCCUAUCCGUCGCAGGCGUAGGAAAUUUGAGAAGACCUGUCCUUAGUACGAGAGGACCGGGAUGGACGUACCUCUGGUGUACCAGUUG